rnacentral:rRNA from 11 species
GGUUCUAACCUAGGUCCAUUAUCUGGAUCGGGGACAGUGCAUGGUAGGCAGUUUGACUGGGGCGGUCUCCUCCUAAAGAGUAACGGAGGAGUACGAAGGUGCGCUCAGCGUGGUCGGAAAUCACGCGUAGAGUAUAAAGGCAAAAGCGCGCUUAACUGCGAGACCCACAAGUCGAGCAGGUACGAAAGUAGGUCAUAGUGAUCCGGUGGUUCUGUAUGGAAGGGCCAUCGCUCAACGGAUAAAAGGUACUCCGGGGAUAAC